GACGAACGCUGGCGGCGUGCUUAACACAUGCAAGUCGAACGGAAAGGCCCUGCUUUUGUGGGGUGCUCGAGUGGCGAACGGGUGAGUAACACGUGAGUAACCUGCCCUUGACUUUGGGAUAACUUCAGGAAACUGGGGCUAAUACCGGAUAGGAGCUCCUGCUGCAUGGUGGGGGUUGGAAAGUUUCGGCGGUUGGGGAUGGACUCGCGGCUUAUCAGCUUGUUGGUGGGGUAGUGGCUUACCAAGGCUUUGACGGGUAGCCGGCCUGAGAGGGUGACCGGGCACGGGGGGAGGGAAGUACGGCACGGACGCACACGGGAGGCAGCAGGGGGGAAGGUUGCAGAAUGGGCGGAGGCCGGAAGCAGCAAGGCGGGGGGAGGGAUGAGGGCGUGAGGGUUGUAAGACGCGUUCGCCUGGGACGAAGCGUGAGGGACGGUGAUGGGUAAAGAAGAACCGGCUAACUACGUG
rnacentral:rRNA from 1 species